GACGAACCGUCCAAACGUUAUUCGGAAUCACUGGGCUUACAGAGUUCGUAGGCGGUCUGGAAAGUUGGGUGUGAAAUCCCUCGGCUCAACCGAGGAACUGCGCUUGAAACUACCAGACUCGAGGGAGAUAGAGGAGAGCGGAACUGAUGGUGGAGCGGUGAAAUGCGUUGAUAUCAUCAGGAACACCGGUGGCGAAGGCGGCUUUCUGGGUCUUACCUGACGCUGAGGAACGAAAGCUAGGGGAGCGAACGGG
rnacentral:rRNA from 1 species